rnacentral:rRNA from 1 species
CAGCAGCCACGGUAAAACGAAGGGUGCAAGCGUUAAUCGGAAUUACUGGGCGUAAAGCGUGCGUAGGCGGUUUGUUAAGUCUGCUGUGAAAUCCCCGGGCUCAACCUGGGAAUGGCAGUGGAUACUGGCAAGCUAGAGUGUGUCAGAGGAUGGUGGGAUUCCCGGUGUAGCGGUGAAAUGCGUAGAGAUCGGGAGGAACAUCAGUGGCGAAGGCGGCCAUCUGGGACAACACUGACGCUGAGGCACGAAAGCGUGGGGAGCAAACAGGAUUAGAUACCCCUGUAGUCCCUGUCUCUUAUAC